AACAAAAUAAUUCGACCUCUUGUGUUUAGAAGGUAGAAAAGUGUAAUGAACUUUGUAUACGGUUGUCAAGAUGUCACAAAAGUUACUUUUCGUAAAGUCAUUAUGAAUAUUUGCAUUCACGUUGUUUAAUUUUCAUAUUGUACAAUUGUUCACAAUGCAACUUGCAAACAAUCGUUUUUAAAACGACCAUAAGUCAAGCUGUUACGUCAUUUAGGGGGUCUCCUUAUAAACUGCUACUUUUUUUUGCUCGACAUAGAAAAAAUCUGGGAAAAAUUACAAAAAUUGAAAAAUGAAUUGUCAAUCGUUUAAGACCAUUCCCAAAGUGGCACACCUAAAUUUGACAUUUGGACGCAACUUCAAAGUUGGAUGUUAUAUGACGGGGUUUUGUUAAUUAAUUUACGCAUCGAACACACCCGUCCUAUAUAUGUAACAUCACAUGACUUUUAAGUGAUUAAAACUAUUUUUUUUAAAAAUAAUAUUUGCAUGCUUGACAUGUUUUUUUCUUAAACAAUUACAAUUACACCGACAGUCAUAAUUUCUGUAUUAUUUAAAAAAGUUUUGUUACACAUUUUGUUACACCUUAGUUAUACAGUAACCCGGAUUGGUUGACCAUUGUGAAGUUGAGUUUUUGGGGUAGCAUAGAUUUAUAUCGUUGUAUUCCUUUUGUUUGUGUUAACCAAUUGUCGUUCGGAAUUAUUUUUUAUACAUCAUUUAUUGAUCUUGCAAUUCUUGUAAUGUAGUUUGCGUCUUAUUUCUUGAGUGUCAUAUUUUGGCUAUGUUUGUGUUCGAUCAUACAGUAUAAUAAGUCGGUAGUUGCCCGCGAAUGGAUUUUUUUUUUAUUUCUUGUGACUCUUUGCGUCUUAUUUGCUGAUUGCAGUUGGUUUUUUGUUUUGUGUCAUGUGGAGAUAUGGUGUUUUUGUUUUUCUUUUGAUGUGUUUGCAUCUUAAAUUGGGAUUGCACUGAGUUAUUUCAUGAUUUCUUUUGUGCUAUAUUUUCGAUACAUUUUUAGUCUAUCUUAUAGCAUCUUACAAUUGUCCGACGACAUAAUG
rnacentral:lncRNA from 1 species